rnacentral:rRNA from 1 species
UUUAUAGAGAGUUUGAUCCUGGCUCAGGAUGAACGCUGGCGGCGUGCCUAACACAUGCAAGUCGAACGAAGCACUGUCGAAUGAGGAUUCGUCUGAAUUUGGCUUUGACUUAGUGGCGGACGGGUGAGUAAUGCGUGGGCAACCUGCCUUUCAGAGGGGGACAACAGUUGGAAACGACUGCUAAUACCGCAUGACAUAUUGAGAUCGCAUGGUUUUAAUAUUAAAGAUUUAUCGCUGAAAGAUGGGCUCACGUCUGAUUAGUUAGUUGGUGAGGUAACGGCUCACCAAGACUGCGAUCAGUAGCCGGACUGAGAGGUUGAACGGCCACAUUGGGACUGAGAUACGGCCCAGACUCCUACGGGA